UGAGUGUCACGGGAGUACCAUCUCUUUACCUUGGCAAGAGCAGAUCCUUCAUAUCUGUAGUUGAAUCACACACUCUCAGAUAUCUGAGCUUGAAUUCUACAGGGACACUUAUCCCAGCUUUUGAAUUUUAGGAGAAAUAGCCUGCAGACCAGAGAAUAAGGAAAAGUUGUUUCCUGCCAAAGAACAAGCAGUAGUGUGAAAUAUAAAAUUUUAUUGUUGCGGUGAAAGAAAAUUUCAGUAUUAAAUUUUUGAAAACACCAUGUAAGAGAUGCCUGCUUUCCCUUCACCUUCCGGCAUGAUUGUAAGUUUCCUGAGGCCUCUCCAGACAUGCUUCCUGUACAGCCUGUAGAACUAUUCUGACACCUCCACUUCACACAAAACACUCCACUUUAGAGUUCGUUGGCCCCUUAAAGUAAGUUUUACAAGUCAAACCUUGAACCAGCAUGAAAAUAGCUUUAUCUCAUGUGUGGUCCACACUAGGUCCUUGGUAAAUAUUCAGUCUCAUCUCAUUUUCCUACAGUUCCGAGUAUAGCUACUUUCUAGAUACAGCAACACCCUAUCUUAACUUUUCCUUCCACCUUAUCUUAGCUUUUCCUUCCAGGCAACUUGACAGAAUAUCUCUCUUGCCCUCCGCAUUCCUUGAGAUGGAAGUCAGACCCAGGUCACUGCAUUCCCCUAGAUACAAGGAAUCUAUAUCAAAUUAUCUCAGUGUACCAACAAGGCUUGAGUAGAGGGUUAGAUACUUCCCAACUUGUACCCCUAGGGUUAAAGAAGUAGAACUUAAAUCACAACUUUGCCCUUAAAAUACAUUGUAAAAAUGUCUCACUUUUC